rnacentral:piRNA from 1 species
UAGCCAUCAGAGUGAGCAUGAUAAGCCCUCGU